UACGUAGGGCGCAAGCGUUGUCCGGAAUUAUUGGGCGUAAAGAGCUCGUAGGCGGUCUGUUGCGUCUGCCGUGAAAACCCGAGGCUUAACCUCGGGCCUGCGGUGGAUACGGGCAGACUAGAGGUAGGUAGGGGAGAACGGAAUUCCCGGUGUAGCGGUGAAAUGCGCAGAUAUCGGGAGGAACACCGGUGGCGAAGGCGGUUCUCUGGGCAUUACCUGACGCUGAGGAGCGAAAGCGUGGGGAGCAAACAGG
rnacentral:rRNA from 1 species